rnacentral:lncRNA from 1 species
CCCACCUCUCCCAGUUCUCCCAGUUCUCCCAGUGCCACUCCCACCCCAGCCCACCUCUCCCAGUUCUCCCAGUGCCCCCGGUGCCCAUCCCAGUGCUCCCAGUUCUCCCAAUGCCACUCCCACCCCAGCCCCACCUCUCCCAGUGCCCCCAGUGCCACUCCCACCCCAGCCCCACCUCUCCCAGUUCUCCCAGUGCCCAUCCCAGUGCUCCCAGUUCUCCCAGUGCCACUCCCAUCCCAGCCCCAUCUCUUCCAGUCUCCCCCAGUGCUUGCCCAGUCCACCCAGUGCCCACCCCAGCCCCCCCAGUGCCUCCCAGUGCCACUCCCACCCCAGCCCCACCUCUCCCAGUUCUCCCAGUUCUCCCAGUGCCCCCAGUGCCCCCAGUGCCCCCGGUGCCCGUCGCUCACCCCGCUGUGCCCCGCAGCCUCGGAGGUCUCCUGCUGGCCCACAGCAUGGUCCUGCUGGCCCUCAACGCCGGGCAGCCCCCGGAGUGACACUCCCCGAGCACCCAGCCCUGCUGGGCACCCCUGGGUGCCCCUGCGUGCCCGCCCUGCGCCCACCGACCCUCCUGCAGAGCCGCGGGCACGGCCACGAGAGCUGGAGUUCCUGUGCCAGUAAUUAACUGCAGCGCGUUAAUUGGGGCAGAGCGAGCGGCUCCCUGAGCUGGGAUGGUCCUGUGGGAUCUGCUGGAUGUUCCCCUGGGACUCUUUGGGAUGUUCCUGUUUUGGGAUCUUCGGAUGUUCCCGUUUUGGGAUGUUCCCCUGGGAUCUUUGGAAUGUUCUGUUUUUGGGAUGUUCCCUGGGGAUCUUGGGAUGUCCUGUGGGAUCUUCGAGAUGUUCCCGUGGGAUCUUUGGGACGUUCCUGUUGGGAUCUUGGGAUGUUCCCGUUUUGGGAUGGUCCUGUUGGAUCUGCUGGAUGUUCCCAUGGGAUCUUUGGGAUGUUCCUGUAGGAUCUUUCUUCAGGAUGUUCCUGUGGGAUAUUUGAGAUGUUCCUUUGAGAUCUUUGGGAUGUUCCCAUGGACCUUUGGGAUGUUCCUGUGGAUAUUGGGAUGUUCCUUUGAGAUCUUUGGGAUGUUCCCGUGGGACCUUUGGGAUAUUCCUGUGGGAUUUUUGGGAUGUUCCUGUGGGACCUUUGGGAUAUUCCUGUGGGAUAUUUGGGAUGUUCCUUUGAGAUCUUUGGGGAUUUUGGGGGUUCCACUUUACCCCCCCUGCCUGAGGAAUUCCUGCUGCAGAGGGAAUUCACCCCAAAACGGGCCGGCUUUGUCCACAGGAUGUUGGUGGCCCCGGGGUUUUGGGGGUGACUCUGGUGCCCCACAAGGGACACGCUGCACAGGUGGCCAUGGGACACCUGCAAAUUUCCUUUUUGAAGCAUUUUUGGGUAUAAAGGGUGGGAGCCACCCCUUUCCUCACCCUUCCUGCUGCUUUUGGGGAUUUCAGAGCCCCCCUUGAAGGAAUUCACCACUGGGGAAUGUUUAACCCCUUUUUCAGCCACGACUCACAUCUAAUUUAACCAUUUGUUUUUCUUUUUCCACUUAAAUAUUCCCCUUAAAUACAGCAUUAUCAGGAAAAAGGAGCCAUUAUGAACGUGCCCAUUAUUCCCGGGCACGGCUGAGGAAAAAAAAAAUUGUAACGUUGAAUGAGAAGCUUUGGAAUCACAAAAUUUGUGAAAAUAAAACAAAAAUCCAGUGGGAGCUUGGAGGAAUUGAAGGGGACAUUGG